rnacentral:rRNA from 1 species
CUCUGUGACUCCUACGGGAGCAGCAGUGGGGAAUAUUGCACAAUGGGCGCAAGCCUGAUGCAGCAACGCCGCGUGAGCGAUGAAGGCCUUCGGGUCGUAAAGCUCUGUCCUCAAGGAAGAAUAAAUGACGGUACUUGAGGAGGAAGCCCCGGCUAACUACGUGCCAGCAGCCGCGGUAAUACGUAGGGGGCAAGCGUUAUCCGGAAUCACUGGGCGUAAAGGGUGCGUAGGCGGUUUUCAAGUCAGAAGUGAAAGGCUAUGGCUCAACCAUAGUAAGCUUUGUAAACUGUUAAACUUGAGUGCAGGAGAGGAAAGUGGAAUUCCUAGUGUAGAGGUGAAAUUCGUAGAUAUUAGGAGGAACACCAGUGGCGAAGGCGACUUUCUGGACUGUAACUGACGCUGAGGCACGAAAGCGUGGGGAGCGAACAGGAUUAGAUACCCUGGUAG